GGCACUCGAGGGAAUCUCCAAGAGGAACUCGGAGCGGACACCUAAACGCUUGUUUGAAAACUACUCGCUUGUUUUGACUAGGUGAGUGUUCCAUAUAGGAAUACGUAAUUGAAUAAGUUUAGGACACACUUAUUUCAUGAUUAUUAAGUGUUAAGUACUAUGUGUUAAGUAUUUACCAUACUCAUGCCUAUUUAAGGAAUGUAUACUUGCAUUGUAUAUCUACAUGAAUUGGUUAAACGAUUAACCAUAUCAAAUGACCAUAUGAACUCGAUACAUGCUUAACUUGCUAGAUUGUUUACUUAACCUACUUGAUUUUGAGAAAUGGAGUCGAGUGUGUACUUUAUCGCACUCGUUCUCUUUUGAGAUGAAUAACUCAUGCUUGGAAAUGCUCGAAUAACAUGACUUGGUAUGCUAAGGUUGCAUACGUCGUUGGAGUGAAUCUCCUCGACUCUCACAUGGUAAAAAUGGGAUAACGGCCAAUGAUGGCCUAUUCAUAUGACAAAUGCCUGUCAAUUAACCGUCACUAUUUAACCGUUAACCGUUAACCGUCAACCGUUAACCGUGAACCGUUUACCAACCACAUGACUACUUGAUUACUUGACUAUUUGCUCACAUGAUUUCCAAUCUACAUGACUAUUCGAUAUCCGUGAAUUACAUGCUCCCAUGAAAUCAACUUGUAUUGCUUACGUGCUUACGUGCUAAGUAUCUAAUUGAUUAAUUGAUUAUCAUGAAUCACAUGUUAUAUGAAGCUGUCCAUCAUUAUUAGGCGAGUGUGUACUUUAUCUCACUCGACCUACUCAAAUGAUGAAUUUUUCCUUUUGUCGAAUUACUUGGUUACCUAUGCAUGUUGUAAGCUCUAAGCUGAACUUGGGCCCUGCCCUUGGUUACUGACCUACUCGAACCAGGACUGGGCUCGGUCGGGUAGGUUGAAACCCUGGGCCACCGUUUCGGUAUACUCGAGUAUUACCACUGGAGGGAUAAGGCGAUGGCCAGACCGUACCGUGGGGAUCGGAAGUCAUAAGGUGUAGAUGACCGACAGAGUUCCACUGGAACACCGUAUCCUACAGUAUAUGUUUACCUGGUAUCAUGAUAAUUGUUUCAUGCUAAAAUGCCAAUAUGAAAUCCUGAGCUAUGCCUGUAAUAAGCUCCAAUCACUCGUGAACUAUACAUGCCAAUGUCUUGAACCAUAAUAACUGUCUCAUGAUAAAUGUCUCAUACCAUGAUAAUGUCUCAAAUUACCCGUACAAUGAUUAUCACCUCAUGAUAACAUGCCAUUGUGUAACCUUGAACCAUGCAUAUGAUAUGCCCAAUCUACUUGAUUUAUUUGAACUGUUAGAGUGUCUUGGAACCUCACUGGGCUGUAUAGCUCAUCCCACGUUGUGGUUUUCUUUUACAGGGUUCGAGACCAAUGGUGCUCGUGAGUAGUACUAGAUUGUUUUCUUUUGAAAACUUUAAUUUUAUAUUAUAACGGAUGGUUAUUGUACCCUUUUCCGUUGGGUUGUAUUUAAGCUUGAAAGCUGCAUAAUUGUAAGUGUAAGAUAUUUGAAGUACUUUAAUUAUGUAUUGAAGUUACUUAAGGUAUUUCGGGCUUUUGAAUGAUGGAUUGUAGUGAGUCCUGGCGAGAGUUGGGCAGGCGUCCCGCGGAUACCCUUUGGUUCGCCUUAGGGAGAAGUGGGGGCGUCACAUAAAGGGUAAUCACUCCACCCCUCUUACCUUUCAAAUUAUAAGAAGUUUAAAGGUUAAUCUCCAUAGGUUUGAAACCCUAACCGCGUAUUAGGCUAGCAGAUUUGAGGAACCAUUUAUUUCGCUUUAAAUCAUAGGUUAGUUAUUUUGAUGAGGCCUCUAGGUGGCUGACUUGAGGCUUGAUUGUUUGAUUAUGAUUGUUUAUGUGAUAUAUAGCUUGAUUAUGGUUAGAAAGUAGAGAGAAAUCGAAAGAAAGUUGUGAAGGCAAGCUAGCCGAAAAUUCUAUCCAUGUUGUUCUGUCUUUAUUUCGGAAUUUUGAUACUUGGUUGGCUGCGAAAUUGAUCGAUAUAUAUUGUAUAAUGUGUAUACAAAGUGCCUUUCAAAAAUUGUAUCGAAUGGUUGCACAAAACUUGAGUUUUGGAAAAGUUUCAAAUCUGGAAAACGUAUAGCAGGGUACCUGGACAGUAAGUCUUUGUCUAAACAUAACUUUUUGUGCAAAGGUCGAAAUUGAGUGCCGUUAGUGGCAUUCAAAACUAGACAUUCAGAGCUUUCAACGGUAUAAAAAUCUGCUUCUAGUUCAUUUUGAGUGAUCCGUAGCGAAUCAACAAAUUCGGCUGUUCUGCUUUGCCUAUGUGUUCGAAUGAAACUGGAAAGCUACAUGUUGUGGCUCGAUUUUUUCGCACUUGUGAAAAGAUUUUCAAAACAAAUCUGAUAAAUUGUAGCAUUUUGAACUUAAUUUCCAAUGUCAUAAACCAUUCUCAAUUUAGAGUUGUAUAGAGCUAGAUAUGGUUUGAUUUUGAAAACACGACAAAGCUAGAAAUUGGAAGAUUUUCCCUUCCUUGCUGACCAAAUGGUCAAAUCUGUUUUGGGAUGUUAUAUUUUGAAAAUCUUAGUGUCAUUUAACCAUCAAUUGCUUAUUAAAUGGUUUUGGAACCUUGGUUUAAAAAAUGGAGUGAAUUGGGGCUGAUUUUAUUGGACAAAACUUUUGGAAAAGAAAAAGAAAUAGAAUGGCAGAUUCACUUUGAAAGAUUUCACCAACUUUGGUCGUUUCGUUAACUGCCUUUCCGUGCAAGUUUUUGUCUAAAUUUCUAUAGAGAGGUAGUCCAUAUAUGGAGGUUUAAGUGUACCAAAUUUGGUGUUAUUUCAAUACCAUUUCAAUAUCCAGAUGAUGCCCCAAAGAUUGCUCUUCAAAUUUGUAAAUUCACUGUUCAAGUCGUGAAAAUCAACCGACUUUAAAUUGUUAUAUCUUGUUGCUCAAAACUCCAAAUUUAAUUCUGCUUGUUGUGUUUGAAACUUUAAUUGGGAGUCUUAUUGUGUUACAAAUUUCAAAGGUUGAUUCCCUUUCUGUGAAUUUUACCGAAUUUCCAAAUAUCACCGAAAACCAAGACUGGUUAUGUCUUGUCUUCUUGAAUCAGCAACUUUGAACUAAAAAAUGAAUGCUUUCUGUUUGAAAUCUUAAAAAGGUGUCUUCUGGGAACUUUUAGUAUUUUGGAUCUAGUUUCCAACGGUAUAAAUUUUCUAUUUUUGCACAUACGAAACUCAAGCUCCGAUUUUAUCAACUUUAUCGCGCAAGCUGAAAAUUCAUGAUUUCUUGGGAAAUGAGUUUUUGAGAACUUUUCAUUGUCUUUCAAUAUCGAUCAUCCAUUUUAAACUCAUUUUCAUGGAGGAUACAAGUUUCUCUUGUGACUUUAAAUGUUCACUUUUGAAUUUCGAUUUUCGAGAUAUUAAAACUCUUUUAAGACAUUGUCUUAGUAUUACGCAAGUGUACAUUCUUCCUUAUUUGGCAAGGGGUUUGUAAGUAUUUGUGAGUGAUAAUUAAUUGUUAUUUCUUCAGACGCUCAAGAGGAUCUUGAAGAGAAUCUUGAAGCCGACCACUAAAGAUCUUAUUUGCACUUUCUCACUUAUUUUGAAUUGAUGAGUGUCAAGUGCAUGAAUAGUUGCCAAUUAUGUAAAUUGCUUCUUAUUGAUUAAGUGAUUAACAAUCGUCGAGUCGAGUGUGUACUUUAUGGCAUUCGUUCUCUUUUAAUUGAUUAUAUAAUUGAAUUGCUCAUAGUUGAAUUUAUAAUUAUGGUUGAAUAUGCCGAUUGGAGUGAAUCUUAUUGGCUUAUAAUUGUAUUUGUUGAUUGGAGUGAACCUCAUCGAUUUAUAAUGGAAAUCGGGGGAUCCCCAAAUCUCAAUUGGCCGACCUUACGACUGGAGCCAGCAUAGGCUUGGUCGAGAAGCUUGGUGAACCAUGAGAUAAUUAAAAGAUGAUCUAUUAAGAGAUCUCGCUUGACAUACUCAUGGAAUAGUGCCUUUUAUAAAAGAAGUGCGAGCCCGGGACAGGGGGUGUAACGGUGAAUGAGAAUUGUAGAGUAAGUGGACUUCUAAGGACUUAAUACCUACCCGGUUUUGACGGAGUGUCAUCCCGUGAAGAUAUUUGAUCGAGUCUUAGCGAAGCGAGUGGAAUCUAGCUCCUGAGAUCUCAUGUAUCCUUAUUAAGUGUGUUAAUGUUAUUUAUGUGUUACUUGAACUUCCUUGUUUUAUUUCUCGUACAAAUGUCAUUGUUAUUUAACUAUGUGUUUGCAUGUUUUCUUGGCCUCACUGAGCAUCAGCUCAUCCCAUUAGUUUGUUCUUCCUUAACAGGAGCUCGGAAUGGAAAGAAUUUUAGGGAGAGCCGACUUGUUUACUUUUGAGUAAAAUUUUGGGAUGUAAUUGACUCGUCGACUCAUAGCGGUUGUAUUUUGGGAGGAUUGAUUUGAUUUUGGGAACUUGUGAUGUAAGAUUUGAAAGUUUAUUUAAGGGAGAGACUUCUCCUUAUUUUGACUUUUAUUAUUGGUUGUAUAUCUUUAAAUUUAAAUUUGACUUGUAUCGAGUCCUGGCGAAAGUUGGGCAGGCAUUCUGCGGAUACCUUUGGGUUCGUCCUUGGGAGAAAUGGAGGUGUCACAAACACUGCUGGUUAUAGGGCUGGCUAUGAUGUUGGUCAAAUUGAUUGUUGAAAUUUUAUGGUUUACUAUACACUAGGGCUAUCGUGUUUUGACCACCUCAAACCUUGUCUAUAAAUACGGGAUGAUUUGAACAAUGAAGGACAUAAUAGCCAAGAGAAAGAACUUUGGAGGCUAGAAACAACUCCAAAACAUGUACUAUUUCAAUUAGAAAUCUUUAGUUCUUUACAUUAUUAUAGGUUAGGUAGUUCUUAUACAAUCUCUGUAUGCAUCUAAACUUGGAUAAAGAUUGAAGAUUGAAGAAGAAGAGAUCGAAUGCUCACAAGUGACAAGAGUUUCUUCUCUCAACUCUUUUGAUUUCUUGUAUUUGUACUUCACUAAUUAGUUGCAAUACAAGAUUGUUGUGUGCUUUCUAUUUCAUUUUAUUUUGCUAAAGUUUAUGCCUUGGAUUGAAUGAACUUUUUAUGAUUGUUAUGUGAUAUUUGCUUGGUUAUUUGAUACUUUGAGCAAGUUAUUUAGAACAUUAACAAUCAUGAUUAACUAGCUAUUAGUUGUGAUUAUAUCAAGGUAUUGAUUCAUCCAUGAAGGUGGGGAUUCAAUCUUAGUUCAAAAAAGUGCUAAACCUAGAUUGUACACUCAUUAAUAUAGGGUUGCAUCUUUGUGGCAUUAGUAGUUUUUUCCAUAUAAUUCAUAGAGUUGAAUAAAUUUAUAGUUAAAUUCAUAUCACGUUAGUAGGUGUGGAGUAGUUAUAGACAUGGUUGGUACACCGACAGAAAGGGUAUCACGUAUAUAAGGAAAUUACGUCAUAACUUAGUCAAGAUAAACGUACUCAAUUAACCAGUAAAAUCACUUGCAAUAAUAAUUAGGAAUUUUGCAUCCCUAGGAGCCUUUUGAUUGUUGUUUUUACUUCCUUUUAUUAUUUAUUCAUAGUAUAGAUCUACUUGCUUUUAAUUGUGGUUGUCUAAGUAAUAGAGGAGUUCGAAAACCACUAGUAUUUGACAAUCUUUCCUGUGGGAUCGACACCUAAUAUAACCUAUAUUCAAUAAUGAUCUAUAUACUUGUAAUAUUUAUGUUUUUAAAAUUUGAAAAGAAGGAAAAAACCUCAUCACCUUCGGCACAUUAUCUUUUGUUGGACUGCUCACUCUUCUGGAUACUUUACAAUCAAAUAUGUAGUUGAAGUGUUAAGUGAGCACACUGAGGAUACUAUUGGUAUGGCUUAAAAAGUAUGCACCAAGAUUUGCUUUUAUAGUUUGGCUAACUUGUCAAAAUAGAUUGGCUACUAAGGAUAAACUCUUCAAAAUAGAGUUUUGUUAUUUAUUAGUUAUGUGGAUGAUGCAACACAUAAUGUAAGAGACACAUACUCUUGAUAAGAUGAAUCCUCUUUCUAGUUUGCCAUCGCAUCCAUCUCCUAUCCCACCUUCUAUUUAGCAGCCGAUCCUACCUCUCACUCCUUCUUCUCUGCUUUUCUUUCUCCUUCCUCUUCCCCAUCAUCCUACUCAUAACCCUAUUGUACCCUUCCCAUUGCUUCAAAUUCAGAUUAGCCCCACAAAAACCUAGAUGCACCUUCAAUACCUACUCAACAAACAAUUUUCUCUUCAUUUGAAAAUUGCCUUCUUAAUUCCCAAUCCAACCAGGAUAAACCUUAUCCUGAUGAUUCCGAGAACGAAGGAGAUAUCUUUAAUCCUCUCUCAAGCAUUUUCUCAAGAGUUGAUAAAUCCUAUAGUUGUAACUUUUGGAACCUCUCUCUCAUUAUCAAACCUUUAGGUACGACCUUAGAUUUUAAAUAUGUCAACUAGUAGCUCCGUGUAAUUUUGAAACCAAUUGGAUGUCUCUCAUUUAGGACAUUGGUUGAGAUUAUUACAUAGUGAACUUCAAGGAGCUCUUGGGUUAUCAAAAAGUUCUGUCAAAAGGCCUGUGAUUCAUCAAUAAAUACUUCAUUGCUAUUAGAAGAUAGACUCCCAACUUCAAUACCUUAGACAACAUUAGUAAUACUACUGUUAUUUGGGUAAGACUCUUAUCUCUCAAUGGAAUAUUAUGUUGCAUAGAUCCUUUCUAAGGUGAGAUAUAUUUUGGAAAAUUUACUAAAAAUUGAUGCUAGAAUAGCUAAGUUAGAAAGGGGGAGGUGAAAAAAAACUAGAAAGAGGGUGCUUUGCAUGCCUGUGUAAAGCUCAAUUUAGAUAAACCUUUGAUUCCAUUUAUCCAGUUGGGAAGAUUUAAACAAUCUUUGCAGUAUUAAGGUUUGUGCUUCUGUUUCUUUGUAGAUUUAUAGGUCACGAUGUGAAAAAAUGUAAGCAAAAUCUACAGGUAGAGAAACCUGAGAAGUCUAUUGAUCUUUGAAAAAUUCUACUUAUGGGCCAUGGAUAUUAGCUGGUUUGAAAAGAAAAAUGGAGUGGUACCACCGAGAGAUCGGAAAAUCUUAACCAAUACAAAUUUCAAAUGAGCCAAAUCGUCUUGGGCUCCACCAUAAAAACCCAAAACCUUAAACAAAGUUCAAAAAACUACAAUUAACCCUCUAGGCCAAACACUUCUUCUUUAGAUCACCUUUCAACCUUGACUCUAGAAUAUAUAUUGACUUUUGAGUAAACAAAACUAUAGUCUAACCCCAAUUUCCCUUUUCAUGUCACCUCAUGUACUUCAUUACCACCUAACUCUUCUAAAUUUUUUUCCAAUAUGGAAAUGGUGUCUACAAAUUCAACAUCGCCCCUUUCUAUAAUUUCAAAGACUCAUGAGUCUUCAAUAUCAAAGAGUGAUGUUAUUGCAAACCUUAGCAAUUCAAAUUAGAACCUUCUCAUCAAAUUAGAUACUCUCUCUAACCUCUAACCUGUGAGAACCCGAAAAUUUAUUUUCAUAUCUUUUAUUUUAACCAUUUGUCUUGAAUUCAUGGUUGAUUUAAUGGUUGAGUAAUGAUUUUUGUAUCAUGUUGCUUCAACUUGUAGUAUGUCGAGUUUCAUGGUGCAUUAUGCUAAUGUGACCAACUAGUGAGGUGAGUGCAAUAAAUUUGGUGGACAAGGAGUUUUGUGCAAAAGGGAUUAUGUGCCAAGAGGUAUUAAGAAUUAAUUGAAGAAGAAAUAGAUAUUUGGGUGCAUUAGAAACAAUUAGAUAGACUUGAGUUAGAUGCUUGCCAUUUGUCACUCAUCUAACCAACCUUGAUUUUGAUCAAAACCAAUACUUAUCCAACCAAGCUUUUCUUUCAUCAUUAUUUCUUCUUCUUUCUUCUUGUCUUGGUUGAAAAUAUGGAGAGAAAAGUGAGAGAAAAACAUAAAUUUUUAACUUUGAUUUCUUGUCUAAUUAAUGAAAAAACAAGAGAAAAAUCCUUAUCCACUCCAUAAAUAUUUGAGGCAAGUUCGGAAGGAAACUCUUGGAGGAGUUUUUGGGGAAAGGAAGCUUUACAACUUUCGUGAUUUGCUUUUCAUACUAGGUUUUAGAGGUAAAAAGGUAAACCGUGUUAGGAAACCUAUCUUUCUUAUCUUAUCUUUGAGUUUAGUUGAUGUAUGAUGUUAUAGAAGCUAAAAGAAAGACUUGUUUUUUGGAGGAUUUAAUGUUUUCUCAAGUUAUAUUGUAAAGUUCCAACUUUGGUGCAUAAAAUAUAUAGUCUAGUUUAGAGUUUAUUUAUGUGCAAUUUUGAUGGAUUCCUUUACCAAGAAUAUAUACACCUCAUGACAUGUUAGCUUUGAUCAAUAGUGUAUUUACCAUGAAAAUAGGGUUGAAAGUUGGAGGUUUAAAUAGAGAAACUUGGGAACAAGUUGCUGCCAAUUCUUCUUUGGUUGGCUGAGAGAGAGAGGGGGAAAGUUUGAGUUGUCAGUUUAGAGUGAUUGUGAUAUGCUUUUGCUCAAGAUACUUAAUACUUUGAUCUUCACAUGUAUGUUGGUUUUGAGCCAAAACAAAGAGAAUUAAGUGGAGAAAAAUGAUUUUUCUCCAAACCAUUUUAUUACUCGAAAUUUCCAGUUUUGAACCUCAAGAGUCUUGUCCUUUUCUUCAAAAUUUUUGACUAUAAUCAAUGUAUUUGUGCUCCAUAUUAUCCUUGAAACAUUGUUUUAGCAUGCACGUUAUUUUUUCCCUUGAUUUGAGCAAUAAAAAUUUGCAAUUUUAGAAGCUAUAUUAGGGUAAAAUCUGUAAAUUGAUGUGUCUUCUAAGUGAAACUUCAAAACUCAAAAUUUUUCAUUUAUAUUUGCUUAGAGUUGAUGGACUCUUGAUGUACUAUAUGAUCACAAGAUUUGAGAGUGUUCAAGAGAAAGAACUAGGCUUUAAAGUGAAAAGAUCAUGAUAUAGUGGUGUGUUCCAACUGCAUGUUAGGACCAUGUGAUUUACUUGAUUAAUGCUUCAUGUAACUUGUUGACUAAAAUUGCUAGAUAUCUUGAAUUGUUAGUGCACAGGCGAGUGUAUAUUUUAUCGCGCUCGUCCUCUGUGAAAUUGAAUUCCAUGAUCUUGAAUGUGCACGAAUAUAGGUCUCAUACAUGAUUGCAUCAGUUGAAUUGGACCCUUCACUGGAAUUCUUAUCCGAGACCCAUCUUAGUGAGGUCAGCUAGGCUGGACAGCCUUGGGUAAAGAAAGGAUUUCUAUUCUGUUUACAAGUGAUCUGGACAAGUGAAAUGCAAUAUUUGAAUGUUGGAUACUCGUGUGCUUUACCCCAACGAUUCCACUGAGUGACUAACUUGACAGUCGAUUGUGUACUUUUACCACAUUAGCUAUACUAUUAUUGGGGCUCCAAAAUCCGAACCCCUUUGGUUAGUUGAUCGAAUCGAGCUAGCGAGCACUUGCUCGAGUAGAUUGACGAACCAUGGGUACUGUUUAUUGAACUUGUACUGGAUUUGGUAUACUCGAGUAUUACCCUUCUUGUUAUAUAUUUAGCGUUCAGGCCUGAUAGGAGGAUGAUCAGUGGAUGGAGAAUGGAGUUAAGCGGUAAUCUACAGGAUAUUAUUACUGUAUUCUAAGGUUGAUGGAGUAUCAACAGAUCCUGGACAAACUACUAUUGAAUUGGCUCGGAAAAACAUACUGUUUCUACUGAACUAACUCACAAGAGUAGACUGUAUCCUUUUACAUGAAUAUGUUAUUGACUGUACAUUGUUAAAUGAUUUAUUUGGAUAUUGCUUGCUUCAUGAAAUAUGUGAUCAUACCAUCAUGUAAAUUUUACAAUACCUGAUAGAUUGUUUGAACGUUUUUUUGGGAGCUCAUUGGGCUUUUAGCUCAUCCCAUUAUUUGCUUUCCUUAACAGGUUGUGGGGAUGAGAGAGAUGAUGAUAGCAAUAAUUUGUAAUAGGAAAUUUGGAUCUUGUAUUUGGCUGACAUACUAUAUUAUGGAACUAGUCUUUUAAACUCUUUUCUUUUGGCUUGUCCUUGAAUUUGAAUAUUUGGAUGAUUUGUGGCAUAUAAAUGUUACAUUGAAGGACUUUAGUGUUAUUGAUUAAGGUUUGUAGUGAGUUCUAGCGAAAAUCAGACAGGCAGUUAGCUACCCUCUGGGGUAUGCCCUAGGGAGAGAUGGAGUUGUCACAUAAUCUCUCCGCUAUCCCUUAUUGGCACUUAUCAUUUUUCAAAAAAUUGGUCACCCUAGAAACUUCUCACAUAGGAGGGCUCUAAGUGCAGAGUCCAUAUUCAAUAAUUGCACUCACCAUCACCACCAUUAUGAUUGUAGACGGGUGAGAAGAACCCUACCUUGCUACCAAUAAUAUCAAGAACCAAUUUCUCAACAACGAACAACCUCUAAUCUUCAUUCUCAGAGAUCUCCCAGCUUGGAAACAUGUCGACACCUACCACAUCCUCAACCCGCUCUUGGCCUUGCAACCAUACGUGACAUGGAAGGACAUCAAAAGGCAAUAAGAAAGUGACAUCUUGGGAAAAAUGCAUCUGUUGGGAAGCAGUAUUGGUGUAGCCAUCACAAUGGACUUCGACCUUACUCGAUCUACUUGGAAAUCAAGCAGACCACUAGAUGCUCUUAUUGCACAGUCCUGUAGGAUAAUUGCUCCAGUGGUAGCUCCAAACCAUUGAUACCAUCUGAGCCUAAUUCCCCAAAAUCAUGCCCUAAGACACAUGGCCUCAAACCAAAGAUAAGAAUGAUUGCUGCAACCAAGCAUAGAGUUAAUUCUAGAGCAAUUAUCUAUCUCUAGUGCUCUUAGAAAACAAGACUCAAUAAUGGUUCUUAUCCUCAUAAGAGAAAUCAUAGGAGCUCGUAUAUUCCUAACUUGUAGAGUGGACUCACUCUUAAGAGUGUUAGACUUCUUAACAGACCUUUAACUUAAAGUCAAUCAGAGAUUGAAAGUAGAGAUGUUCAAAAAUUGGAAUGCUUUACCCCCCAAAUUGUGACGGCCCUACCUCCCCCUAAGGCGUACCCUAGAGUUUAGUGAACCGCUUGCCCAACUCUCGCCAGGACUCAAACACGCUUAACUCGAGAAAGAACUUACAAUCAUAGAAAGGAAAUAAAACAACGAUUUCAAACUUAGCAUAUACAUUGACUUAAAUCCAACUAGAAGUCUCAUACAUGCCCAAAUACAUUAAAAUAUUUACAGUCCAAGUACAAUCAACCCCUAGUCAGGUGCUAGCUCAAGAACAAUUGCAAAUUUCAAAAAAAUUAGACCACACUAGUUUGUACAAGUCUCAUGCCUCGCUCGUACCCCUAUAAGGAAAACAAAUGACGUGGAAUGAGCUAAAAGUCCAGUGAGGUUCCAAAUAGCAAGUUAACCAUUAUUUAAAAGUGCAAAUAUCACGUAGUAAAGUAAUAAGUAUGAAAAGUUCAUAAAAGUGAGCAAUAACACUUCAAGUAGCAAAUCUCAAAGUGAGCGAGUGUAAAGCUUUUCUUUUAAAACGAAACAAUGACACGAUAAGUACUAAUCAUUCCAAAGUAUAAGGAUACGGAAGGCUCUCAAGAGCCAAAUUCCUAUUGCAUCACCAGAGCUUGAUCAAGUAAUAGUUGACACUCCGUUAACUUUCAAUUAAAUAACCAAUCUAGUAGAGCACCACUUAAACUACUCUCCGUCCACCAUCCAAACCCCUUACCGGGCCCGAACUCCAAAAUAAACACUGGUGGUAAUACUCGAGUAUACCGAUUAGUCGAGAAGAUAACACUCCACUCGACAACACUAGAUACCUAUGGCUCGUUAUCUAAUCGACCAAUUCCUUACUGGCUCAACUCGAAUAACUAGCCAGUGGGGUUUGGGUCCCCAAAAGUCGAUGAGAUAACACUCCAAUCGACUGAAUCAAGAUAAAAGUACGGAGACGGGAAGGAGAGGCACCUCUCACUCACAUUGAGUGUGGCACAUGCUGCCGCUCAGCACUUACAAGUCAAGUACAAGUAUAUCAAGUCAAUCGCAAUAAUAAACAAGUAUAUAUCAUAUUAUGGCAAAUGCAAUAAAGUAGACUCUUGCCCGAUCCAACAAAUUACAUAUCAUUAAAUCACAUUGGUCAAGUAUUAAAAACAAGUGUUCAGUUCCAUCAGGUAUUUGGAAGCACUUACCAAAGAUGUAGUGCCUUUACGGAUCACGUUUAGGUAUUACUCAUUGUUUGGAGUCCAAGUCUGCGAUGAAACAUUGUUUAAGAGUUUUGAAAUUCAACUAAGAUUCGAAACUUAAACGUUUCAUUUAACAAAAAUCAAAUAAUUCCAACUCAUUUAGAGAAUAUUCGUAAAACUUAUGCUCGCUCUUAAAACUUUGAAAUCCCCAUUUGAGUCGAGGAAAUGGAGAAAACUUAUUUCUAUUAGUCAUAAAUUUCAUUUUUCCAAGGGUACAAGUUUCGGUCGAAUGCUAACUUAUAAACUUCUAUGAAACAAGACUUGAAUACCCUAGACGAUUCAAGUUCGAUUCGUCCUCAAACCCUUACUCAAGUCAUGAGUAUAUCUACCUAACUUUCGAGUGAAAAUUUAGGCAGCAUGCCCUUUGUUUUUGCCUAUUUUCCAGCCAUUUAUGGCUUCAUUGUUUUUCAUAAUUCAGCCCCAAAACACAUACAAAUAAUCUCAUCACAAUAGUUGUUCAAUAGGCUCAAAAUCAUCCAAGUACAACACAAGUAUAAUAAUCCAAUCGAAAAUCAAGUUUUGAGGGCAAAAGACUAAAUGGCAUAUUCGACAUCUUAUAACAUUUUGAUCACAACUAGAGUUACGUUUAUCGGAUUGGUGUGAAAUUUAUACCAUUUCGAAGUUAAGAUAAAUGUUACAACUUUCAUGAAGACAACUCAACCCAAUUCACAAUUGAUCCAGGUCGAAAUUCUAGAUUACAGAACCAAAAUGUCCUUGUCAGUAUGGUUGUCAGUACUGAAUUCAAAUGACAAUAACUCAGGCUACACAAUUCCGUUUGAGGUGUUUUCAGAUGCGUUGGAAAGCUGAAACAUAGGGCUAAAAGUUUCAUGUUUUGGUCAAAAGCAGAUUUGUCGCGCCCCAUUUUUAAUAAUAAGAAAAAUAAAAGACGAGUUUAGAAAAAUGGCUUUUGAUUCAAUUUUUGAUUGGAAAAUGAAUUUUUGAUUUACAAAGAGAAUGAAAAACAUGGGUCUAAAUGGGACUUGAGAAUGCGAUGAUUUGACCCAAAAUAUAGUUUAAAAAGGAUUUUUGAAUGAAAAAUGGAAUCGCCACUUGGUAUAGAGUUAAGGUGUACCAAGUCACCUAAAAAUGAAUUUUUAAAGAAAAAAACGUAGAAAACCCUUUUUAAACGACUCCAAGUCUACGAAAAUCAGAGAAAAAGAUUCGGGAGUCACAUUUGAAGAAAGGGAAGGCAAGGAUAAAAAUCCAAGGCACCCUUUCAACCUAGCCAAGGCUAGUUGUGCGAUUUAGUCAAAGAUUUUCUCAUUUUUAACCUAAAAAUUUAUCACAUUUGGAUGUACUAUAUGAAUGCAAACCCUAGACCUAAGAGGGUAUCGGGGGGUCGAAAUGUAUCUUCAAAACUGACUUGGUACCAAUCACAUUAAUUGUGACGCCCAAUAAAGACUCUUUGAAGAAGCCACGAAUAAUGCAAGUCAUGAGACUCGAAAGAAAGAAAAAGUAAAGAAAAUAAUAAUAUACAAAUGUGUAUGACCUAAAGGAAUGCAUCAUAAUGGGUGCGGGGGACUUAUGUUCGUGACUCAAUGUUCCCUUUAAUAGAGAGAAUACGAGCGUGCUAAGGCUAGAAAACCAAACUCGUCCAUAUCCCAUAUCCAAGGGGUAACUUCCCUAAUCUAAUCAUGCAAAUGUACUAGCCUAGUUCUAAUCCUUACAUGGGAUGCAAGUCUAAUGUCAAGAUUCAUACAAAGGGGUAAGUAAUAUACAUAUAAAGGAAAAUAUGGGGGAAGGGGUAUACGUAUAAGGAGGGAUAUCAUGCAAAAAAAUGAUAAAGACCCUAAAAAGUGAAAAUAUGCAUGAUAUGAAGUGAUUUUAUCACACAAUCAUGAUCUAACGUGCGGAUAGUUCUUAAGGGUCUAGCGUUGGACUAGCCCUUAACUAACGUUCUCUCACAAGCAUUAGACUUGUAAGAGCUCGAAGGGAAGACCAUGACUAGCAUUGGACUAGCCACGGUAACGUACAUUCCAUCCACAUAACCAGAUAUAAUACUAAAAGCAAAUAGACAUGCAAAACACAUAGUUUCACAUAGCACGUAACACAUAAGCAUGUUUGUCUAGAUGCAGAAUCCUAGGGAAAGCGAUUAAACACAUAGGCAUAUAGGCACACACAAGCACAUAGCACACAAGCCCUAUCUAUUACAAAAAGGGAUGCCUACUACAAUCUAAAGGGGGGAAGAUUUAGAAAAGUAAAUCCUAACUAUUACAUUGGCUAGCUAAAACAUGUCUUCAAGAGAGGCGCCAAAACCUAGCUAUUACAAAUUGGGGUUCAAAUGCCCUCAAAUAACUUGCCAAUUAAAAAGGCGAAAUAAAAAGAAAGCGAAACAGGCAAUUAAACAUAAAAUGAAAAGUGAAUUAAAGCAUGCAUAUUCACACAAAACACGUAGGAGCACGUAGGAGAAAUAAAAUCAAGGAGAUAGAGAUUACCUCCCUUGCAAUGGUAAUGAAAUGAAGGAAAUAUUAGCUUCAAAACAAUAAAAGGGUCAAGGCACCAAUUAAAUAGUAAAGUAUAAACAAAAUCACCAAAUCCCUCCCAAUUGCAACUUAAAUGAAAUCAAAUAAUGCGUAAUUUCCAAGAAAGUAAAUUAUUGAUCAAAUUUCUAAAAUAGAAAAACUACCAAGGACCCAAUUGCAAAUACUAACCAAUCACUCAAACCCAAUUUAAACAUUUUAGGAAAUUCAAGGGUCCAAGAGCAAAGAAAGGGUCAAGUAAUGCUUGAAAUUGCAAUUACUUUAGGACCUAAUUGCAAGAAAUCAGAACAUAAUUGGGCCUUUAUAGAACGAGGAGAAACAUGUGAGGUUGAUUUGCAAUUUUUAGAAGUUAUUUUGCAUGCAAAUUCCAUGCAACAACCCACGAUACAAAUUGUCUGCUACAAAAGAAAACAUUCGGUAGCUUAGGGAGCUUUCUUCUGCAAUUGCUCGUUGCAAGCUUUGCAGCUUAAACUCACGCAGAUAAAGUACCAAAACAUUGUACAAAACUUAUUGUUUUAUUGACCUAACCCACACACAUCCAUUGAUCGAAGCUCAGGCAUGAUUACCUUCCCCUAAUUAUCCCAAUCAAAAAAAGUUCCAGGUCCAUGAAAGCAAGAACAACAACCAAAAUGCAGCAAAAAACCUUAUUGUUUUGCUUGAAAACGCUAAACUAUAGCAUUCAAGAAAGCAACCCAAUUCUGAACCACACUCUGAACUCUUCAUGAAAGUGCAAUGUUUGACACACAAAAAAACAGCUUGAAGCAAACACUGCUACUGGAAAAGCUCACAUAAACAGCUAGGGGCAGGGAAGAAAGGAUAGCAGCAAAUCAUGAGGAGGAAAUGCAGCUUUUUGGACCAAACCGCAAACAGGAAGAAAUGAAAUGAGAGCAACUGACAGAACCUAAUUCUAGUCAAACUUAACAUGCAUUGCUCUUAAGCAAAACAAACAAAACCAGAAAACACAAGAUGCAUGGCUCAAACUUCCCCCCCCCCCCCUUAUUCAUUUUCUUCUCGGCUUUGCAAGCAAAAAGGAAACUGCGUGCCUGCAUUUGCAUUUUUUUAAUGUCUAAACUUCCAAACAUAGCAGGCUUAUUCACUGAUGGUCAACUUCUAACACAACAGGUUUUCUUUUUCAUUCUAGUAUUCAACACACAAGAACUCAAAGGUGCACUGAACAUUCAACAAAAACGAAAAAAACAGCAACAAAUGGCCAACCACAACACCUAAAAUAUGCACUUGUCUCUACCUCGCUUCGUUAGAUUCACAAAUGUGAAACCCAACAUAAAACAUGCAGUAGAGAUAUGAAGACACUCACGGCAAACAUGCCCUCAGCCCACUAUCAUAGUAUCCAAACCCCAACAAAGUAAAACUUGAACAAGCAAAGGAAAAGUCACGGCUGCAACAGCUUUUUAGCUACUUGUUGCAGUCCAAAGGUAUUCCGCACCUUGCUACUUGAAAAUGGCAGCAAGCACAUACAACAACAAAACCCAAGAGAUGAUUUAAGCUACUCCGGAAAACUUCAGCAGACCAAAAGAUUGACUUUUUUUCAAGACUACUGUAACAAAACCAGAAUUUCAAAACCUGUUGCGGCAGACCUUCAAACACAAACGUAACCAAACUAAAACUCAAGCAAACUUCAUGGAUUCAUCAGGAAAAACCUAUAGAAAGACCUCCAAACACUUCAUCAGGAUUGAAUACUAGCAUGCAAACCAGGGUAAAACCUGGUUUUGGAAGAGAAAUUAGUAAAACCAGCUUCGUUUAUGAAGUUUUUACAAAUGAAAUGAGCUUGUCGCUAACUAAAAAAAAGGAGAUAAUUUCUAUACUUAAAGUCUUAUGAUCUGCAAGACCCAGAUGCAAUAAUAUGAAGCCAAUGUCCGAAACAGUCAGGGUAUGGGAAUGAAAGAACCAAAAGAAUAAAAACUAGCCCAUGAGAACAAAGAAACAGGAAAGGAAAAAAAAAUCAAGUAGCGAAACACUUGAUGACGGAUGAGGAAGAUGUGUAGGCGAAGGAGGAUGAAUGAAAGGGUUACCUUGAAGGAUGAUCGAACUCCACAGAAAACCAACGAGACCUGCUGCAACCUUGAUAAAGGAAACCGCAAGUGAAAGUAUGGAGAUCCGUCAACCCCCGUUCUUUUUCAUUCGCUACCUCUCUUUUCUCUUCCAGAUUUCUUUCUUCAGCCGUCCCCUAUUCUUUCCGACUCUCUCACGGAAGUUUUCUCUCUAUCAAACUCAGCCGCUCUUCCCUCUUAGCCCACCUUCCUUUUCUAGUUUUCCUUUCUUUCGUCACACACACUCUCUCCUGCCCCUUCUUGGCUGCGGCUAUUUCUUUUAUAGGAACCCAUAACUCCUAAACCCUCACCUCAAAGGUGAGGAUGAAGGGUUGGUUUCUACCAAAAACUUCAGCCAUCCGAUCCAUUCGGAGCCAAAAAGAACCAGAAAAAUCUUCUGUGAAAAAUGAUAUUAAUUUUUUCAUACUGCUGCAUGUGCGGCUUCUCUUCUUUUUUUUUUAAAUAAUAAUUCAAGAAAAAUGAAAAAAUAAUGUUAAGUAAAGAAAAACAACAAUUUAAGUACAAUCGGAUAAAAUGAACAAAACUAGGAAUAAAAUACAACAAAGCUAAGAUUUUUCUUUUUUCUUUCUUUUUCUUCUUUUUUUUUGAGUAAAUAACAGUAAACCCAAAUCUAAAAGAAAUAAAGCAUAUUUUUUGUGAAUGAUUUUCUUUUUUCGAUAAAUUCUAUGCUAAAAUGACUUAAAAAUAAAAAUAAAAGACUAAAAGUAAAUAAAAACUAACAUAAAAAAAUAAAAAUAAUAGUAAACAAAAAAUACACUAAAAAUUUGGUGUCUACAAGAUUUGUAAAGACUCAAAAAAAAUUUUAUUUACUUUAAACUCCAAAUUCUAACCCAUUUAAUUAUUUAUUUGGCCAAAUGCUCCAAUUAUUAUUUUCUAUCCUUUUUCGGCCUAAUUAAAUAUAUCCAUAGCUUAGUUAUAUUUUUUUAAAGUGACUCGUUUCGAAAUGUAAUUUAUGAAGGCUCGUUAAGUGAAAAUAGUAAAUACGCAACUGGAGUAAAUAAUCGAUUGGAAAAUACAAUAAGUUUGAAAAAAUUGGAGACUUAUGGAUUAGUCUCAAAAUAGGUAAUUUUAUAUUUAAAUGUUCAAAGGUUAGUUAGUUAUAUUACCAUCAUAGGAAUUUCUUAGAAAUUUCAUUAUCUCGCGCUUAAAUUGAAAAUAUACGUUUUUACGCACGCGAGUAAUUGAGGAACCUUAGGCCAUAAUUUUGGAACUAUUAAGAGUGAAUAAUAAUAAUAUGAAUGUAAGUGCAUUAGAGGUUUAGUGCACUAGUGCAAUAAACUCGCGAGAAAUUGAGCCCGAAACGCACGCGGACGUGUACUACUUUAGUGGACAGCUUUGAAUACAAUUGAGCCACACGUUUAAUCUUACCAUUAGAAGCUCAUACCAUCAGCAUUCCCUUUCUCUAAUACUCUCAAAUAGCCGAGCAGCAAAGGAAGAACAAGACCAGAAAAUUCCUCCACCCUCUCUCCUCAAUUCCUUGCUCAAUUCCCUCCAAAUUUUACAUGCAACCCUCAAAUCACAUGGUGAUCAAGAUAGCUAGGAAAGGAGCUGCCUCUCAUGAUUUUUCUACAGCUCAAAGUGACCAAAAAUUUCUGUCUUAGCUCUCUAAGGAAGUAAGUAAUGAUCAACCACUUAAUUCUUGUUUUAUGGAAGAUAGAUUUCACUCAUGAGCUCUUGGAUUCUCAUGUGCAGCUUUAAAUUGUUGGAAAAUUGGUGAGUGGGCUCUAUGAAAUCCCACAAUGAUUUUGAUGAUCUGAUUUGAUAGGAUUGGAUGCUGAUUGUGUUGAUUAAGUGCUAAUUUAGUAGAGUUAAAUGGCAAAAAAUGAAAAGGAAGUCAAAUGAGGAGUUGCAUGUGAAGAUGCCGUUUCUGCCCUACUAUUUUCGUGCAUUUUAGUGAAUUUUCUUGAAGUCCAAUUGAUUUGUUUCUAAUGCAAAUGUGAAAUAUAGGUUGUGUUUAAAGUUUCCUCAAAAUUUUACGUGAUUUGGGUGAGUGCAUGUUGAGUUUUAGAAUCUGCCAAAACUGGAAAAUGAUUCUCGUCACUACCAGACAGCCAUUUUGUUUCGACUAUAAUUCAUCGCUCCGAUGUCAGAAUCAAGUGUCAUUUGCAGCACUAGAAACUAGACAUUUCCAGCUUUCAUUUGGUAUAAAAUGCAACCCCUAAUUCCACCCGAAUACCCCAUACCAACCGUUUAAAGAUGACUGUCCUAUUUCUCUAUUUUCCUGGAACGAAGUUCAGAAGCUACAACUUGAGGCUCAAAUUUGAGCUAGUUGUAUGCUGAAUUUCAAAUUGAUUUCUUCUGUGAAAUUAUAGCUUUACGAAUGUAUUUUCCAAUGCCACCAACCAUGCUCAAUUCCGAGUUGAAUUGAGUGAUUUGUGAUCAAAAUACGAAACCUGCCCUGUCCUUGAAAACCCUAAAUUUUGAGCAGAAUUGAUGUUAGACUUGGUAUGGACUUGCCAAUUGAGUUUCUUGGAGUUAAAACACUUACCAAAUGUACCAUAAAUGUUCCUUAGGAUUUUUAUACACAAAUGAACCAUGUUUGAAGGAUUUUCCUAGGCCAAAUGUUGGAAUGGAAAACAAAAAGCUCGAGACAGUUUUGCCUUAGGAUUUUCCGAAACUUUGGUUGUUUGGUUGACUACCUUUUCGAAGUUAUUUCUCCAUGAAAUUCUGUAGAAGGACAACCCUUAUAUGGUAGUAUUAUACUGCUAAUUAUGGUGUUAUUCCGAGGCCGUUUCAUGGCUCAAAUAAAUUACCAAAGUUCAUGACUCGAGUUUGGAAAACCCAUGUUUCACAAGGAAAUUUUGGUAACUUUGAGUUGCCAUAUCUUAGUAUUCAAAACUUCGUUUCUCAUUCCGCUUGUUUUGUUGUAAACUUGGAUUGCGACUCUAAAAGAGUUCCAACUUUCAAAAACUAGUUUUAAUCAAGUGAAUUCUGCCAAAUUUUCAAAGUUGGUCAAAAACCAACCUAAAUCUGCCUUAGGAACCAAAACAGAGACUUUGAGCUUAUUUUUGAAUAUUUUCCAUUUGGAAUCUUAGAAAAGUGUAUUCUAGGAACUUUUAGUACCUUGGAAGAGGUUUCCAACGGUACCAAAUUUUCUAAUUUUUGCCCUGUAAAACGUGAGAUAUGAUUUUUCAAAUGUAUCAUAUCAAAACUGAAAUUUUCCGAAUUCCAAGGAAAUGGAGUUUUCAAGUACUCCUUAUCCCUUCGAUAUUACUUGAACGAUUUAUACUUGAUUUCCAAGAUGAAAACUAAAUUUCUCUUGUACUUUGAAACCCCACUUGAGAGCCUUGAUUUAGGAUAAUUUAGGCUCGUUUCACGAGACUUUCUAAGAUUGUACUAUGGUAUGAUCUUCUUUAAUAGUAGGGGUUUGUAAAUAAUAGUCUAUUAUUGGGUUUGUUUGGAUUGCUUCAUAUUUUCCCAAUUUUAUUUGCUUACAUCAUCUUUACAAUUUCCAAUACACCUUUUUAUCUUUCCAAUAUCUUUUUAUCUCACAUACAUCACAUCACAAAAAGUGCUAUAGUAAAAAUAUCUCAAAUAAUCCCAAAUAACUUACAAUCCAAACAGACCCAUUAUUUGCUCAGGCGCACACGAGAACCUUCAAGAGAAUCCCACAGUGAACGCCUAAAACUCCGAGGGAUAUUUUUUCCUCAUUACUUAUAUUGGUGAGUGUCAAGUGCAUGUUUACUUGCACUUCGCUUGAGAUUUGUUACCUACAUGAACUCUACUUGAACUUAUUGUUACUUGAACUGUACUUGUUGGGGAAAGUGUGUACUUUAUCGCACUUUAUCUCCUUUACUUGGAUCAAUACAUGACUUGCUACAUGAAUUACAUGAAAUUGCUGGAUUUUACAUGUACAUGACCUAAAGUCGAAUGCAGAGAAAAUCUCAUCGACUAAAACUUGAUUUGUUUCUGAAAACCUGACCUGUGGGGACGCCCAAAACCCAAUGGUUAUAUCUCGUAAUCUCGCAGCCAAUCGUGAGGUCUUGGUCGGGAGAACUUGGUAAAUCUUGAGACCUGAAGUUUGAUCUUUUGAGAUCUUGCUUGGCAUACUGGUAUAGUAUCGCCUUUACAUGCCUGUUGGUUACGGAUCCGAGGGGGUGAAAUGAUGGAUGGAGGGAAGUAAGUGGAGAACUACGGAUUGGAAAUACCAACCCGGUUGACGGAGAGUCAUCGCGGGAAGAUAUACGAAUGACCCUGGCAAUGCAAGUGGAACUUAACUCCUGAGAGCUACCAUAUCCUUGAAUUGUUUCUGUUUAUAUUUCAUUUGAAUUGGCAAUUACUUGUACUUUAUUAUUUGACCUGUUAAUUGGGUUUGUUAUUUGAACUAUGUGAUUGCAUGUGUGUCCUUGACCUCACGAGCGUUUUGCUCACCCUGUAGAUUUGUUUUCCUUAACAGGAUUGGCAUGGAAUAGUACUUAGGAAUUUUUUUAUACACUUCUGGCUUAGGGUUUUAUAUAUAUUUUGGGCUAGACCUCUUACUGAUUGUUCUUCGGAAACCUAAAUUGUGGUUUGCAUAUUUGAUGUACCCAGAUGUAGUAUAUCUUGGAAUUUGAUGUACAUUUUGGGAAUUUAAUGUAAUGAUUGGAUAAGCGUUAUGUAUAUUGUUAAGUUUGGAAGUUUUUCGCACUUUCUUACUUAUCUAGUGUUGUUGAAUGAUUUUGCUUUAAACUUGAAUGGAAACUGCUUGAGUCCUGGCGAGAAUUGGGCAGACGUCCCACGGAUACCCUCUGGUUAGCCUUAGAGAGAAGGGGCGUCACAGUUGGUAUCAGAGCACUAAGUUAGAGAUCUAUAUGGAAGACAUGCUAAAUAUUCUACCCUUAAGAUCUGAGACCGGACGAUUUAGUCAUACCUUAAGUAAUAUUUGGGUGAACUAGUGACUGAGUUGGACAUACCCUAAGUGACAUCCGUGUGAGUUAGCGAUUAAGGUUCUAACCAAAAAGUGUAAUUAUUUUGCAGGGAUGGAAAAUGGAAACGGAGCCCCGACAACUAACGAGAAUGGCCAUGCUAAUGGUCAUGUAGAGCUUUCUAGGCCCAUUUACUACCGAGCUAUUAGGGGAGGAGCUUGUGUGCGAUAUACGCCUUAUGAUAGAUAUCCUCGUUGCCCAUGUAGGGUGACAUUUGCCUACCCGAACCACAUUGUGUUAGCAUUGGACGACGAGCGUCGUCAGUUGG
rnacentral:lncRNA from 1 species